rnacentral:rRNA from 1 species
GACGAACGCUGGCGGCGUGCUUAACACAUGCAAGUCGAACGGAAAGGCCCUGCUUUUGUGGGGUGCUCGAGUGGCGAACGGGUGAGUAACACGUGAGUAACCUGCCCUUGACUUUGGGAUAACUUCAGGAAACUGGGGCUAAUACCGGAUAGGAGCUCCUGCUGCAUGGUGGGGGUUGGAAAGUUUCGGCGGUUGGGGAUGGACUCGCGGCUUAUCAGCUUGUUGGUGGGGUAGUGGCUUACCAAGGCUUUGACGGGUAGCCGGCCUGAGAGGGUGACCGGCCACAUUGGGACUGAGAUUCGGCCCAGACUCCUACGGGAGGCAGCAGUGGGGAAUAUUGCACAAUGGGCGGAAGCCUGAUGCAGCAACGCCGCGUGCGGGAUAACGGCCUUCGGGUUGUAAACCGCUUUCGCCUGUGACGAAGCGUGAGUGACGGUAAUGGGUAAAGAAGCACCGGCUAACUACGUG